AAUGAACGGGGCUCAAACAUGCCACCGAAGCUGGGGCUGCGCGUAAGCGCGGGGUAGGGGAGCGUACUGCGCGGGCAGAAGGCUGAGCGUAAGCGAGGCUGGACUGCGCAGUAGUGAGAAUGCCGGCAUGAGUAGCGAGAGCAAGGUGAGAAACCUUGCCGCCGGAAGCCUAAGGUUUCCUGGGGAAGGGUAAUCCGCCCAGGGUAAGUCGGGGCCUAAGCCGAGGCCGAAAGGCGUAGGCGAUGGGAAACCGGUUGAUAUUCCGGUACCACCGAGGGCCGCUUGAGGGAAGCGGGGACGCAGCGAGGUAGGCGGAGCGCGCGGUUGGUAGAGCGCGUCCAACCAGCCACCGAAGGGCACGUAGGCAAAUCCGCGUGCUGGCAGGGGGCUGGGAAGGGGAGCCGCAAGGCGAAGCCGCCGAGGCAGCUGCCAAGAAAAGCCGCUACCGAGGCCUGAGGUGCCCGUACCGCAAACCGACACAGGUAGGCGAGGAGAGAAUCCACAGGCGAGCGGGAGAACCCUCCUUAAGGAACUCGGCAAAAUGACCCCGUAACUUCGGGAGAAGGGGUGCCUCCCUCAGGCUUAGAGUUUAUUGCUCUAGGCUUGAGAAGGCCGCAGAGAAGAGGCCCAAGCGACUGUUUACCAAAAACACAGGUCUCUGCUAAGCCGAAAGGCGAAGUAUAGGGGCUGACGCCUGCCCGGUGCUGGAAGGUUAAGGGGAGGGGUGAAAGCCCUGAACCGAAGCCCCAGUGAACGGCGGCCGUAACUAUAACGGUCCUAAGGUAGCGAAAUUCCUUGUCGGGUAAGUUCCGACCUGCACGAAAGGCGUAACGACUUGGGCGCUGUCUCGAGGAGGGGCCCGGCGAAGUUGUAGUGCUCGUGAAGAUGCGAGCUACCCGCGAUUGGACGGAAAGACCCCGUGGAGCUUUACUGUAGCCUGUCACUGGACACUGCUAGUCUCUGUACAGGAUAGGUGGGAGACUGGGAAGGUGGCGCGCCAGCGUCACUGGAGUCGGCGUUGGGAUACCACCCUGGGACUAGUGGGGUUCUAACCUUAAGCCGUGAACCGGCUAAGGGACA
rnacentral:rRNA from 1 species